AUUGUUGCGGGACCAGGCAGCCUGACCCUGACCUAAAGUAAAUUCCCAGAAGUCUUUCCUGGGUUUUGCAUUUGCAAUAACAGGUGUGAGCAUUUUAGCAGCAGUUUGAUGAUCAUGUAUGAUACCGCAAACAGGA
rnacentral:scRNA from 1 species